UGGGGGCGUGGCGGAAUGGCAGACGCAGCGGACUUAAAAUCCGCUGAGCAAGCGCUCGUGUGGGUUCGACUCCCACCGCCCCCACCAA
rnacentral:tRNA from 1 species